AAACAAGAAACAAUUUGGCUGGGUUAAUCGGAACAAGAGAAUACACAGACACAGACAGACAAGGGAAGAACAAGCACUCCCUUAGAAGUGAUUAUUUUUAAAUA